GGAAUAUUGGUCAAUGGACGAGAGUCUGAAACAGCCAAGUAGCGUGCAGGACGACUGCCCUAUGGGUCGUAAACUGCUUUUAUAGGGGAAUAAAGUCCACUACGUGUAGUGGUUUGUAUGUACCCUAUGAAUAAGGACCGGCUAAUUCCGUGCCAGCAGCCGCGGUAAUACGGAAGGUCCGGGCGUUAUCCGGAUUUAUUGGGUUUAAAGGGAGCGCAGGCUGAUUAUUAAGCGUGACGUGAAAUGUAGCCGCUCAACGGCUGAACUGCGUCGCGAACUGGUAGUCUUGAGUGAGUUCGAUGUUGGCGGAAUUCGUGGUGUAGCGGUGAAAUGCUUAGAUAUCACGAAGAACUCCGAUUGCGAAGGCAGCCAACAAGGCCUUUACUGACGCUAAAGCUCGAAGGUGCGGGUAUCGAACA
rnacentral:rRNA from 1 species